rnacentral:sRNA from 1 species
UUUUUAAAAGGCUAUUUAUGUACUUACGGGGUUGUAAUAUCAUUAUCUAUUUGUAUCUUUAUCCUCAUGUUUCUGUAGUUCCUCUUUAUUGAGUAUUUCACUUGUUUUUCUUGCACAUGUAUGCAUUUCUGUUUUGCUUUUCCGAAGUUGACCUCUACUUCCGGAUCAAACUUCCUAUUUUAGAGUUCACCCUCAUAAAUAUUCAUACCCGGUGAAUUCCAUUGAAAUUGACAUCGUAAGUAAACAAAAUUGUAUUUUUAUAUUGAUACUUGAUAUGUUGAAUUAAAAGUGGUGUUUUAAAAGUUUAACUUUAAUUGUGUGUGAUUUUUAUUCAGAGAACUAUGUUAUUUAGGAUGUAUUCCGUUUACUGUAAGCAAAAUCUGUCUUUAGAAGACGAAUUUUAGAAGUGAUAAGGUUUAACGGAUAUGAACGGGAUAUAUAUAGCGCGAAUCCGUUAAUUUUCGUUAGUCUGCAAUUUUGGGGGUUUUAAGAUGUUAGUAAUUUAUUUUAUUGGAAAUUUAAUUGGGUUUAAGAGAUUAGGUUUUGAUCAUAUAUUUCCAUAAUUUGGAAAUCUGAUCAAUUAAUUUAAAGUUAAUUAGUGGAUUAUAAUUAAUUAAGGUCAUAUUUUCAGAUUAAUAUCUGAAUCAGAUCUUAUAAACUUCUUUUGUGGGAAUUUUUGUCAGUGUUUAUAUUUAAAGCAGGAUAGGUAAUUUUAGUUAGGUCUAAGUCACAUAUUCGGAAUUUUUCUGAAUCAGACUAUUUAACAUUAAAGUUGUUGUGAAUUUACUGGAGUUAUUUGGGUAUUUCAGUGAAUGAAAAGGGCAGGAAUUUAAUUAAUGUUGUUUUGAGGAGGCUAUUAAUUUAUUUAUUUUCUGUCAUGUAAGAAAUAGUUGGUGUAUCAAUAAAUUGUGAAACUUU